GACGAACCGUGCGAACGUUGUUCGGAUUCACUGGGCUUAAGGGGCGCGUAGGCGGGCGACCAAGUCCGGGGUGAAAUCUUUCGGCUCAACCGGAAGAGUGCCUUGGAUACUGGUUGCCUCGAGGGAGGUAGGGGCAUGCGGAACUUCCGGUGGAGCGGUGAAAUGCGUAGAUAUCGGAAGGAACGCCGGUGGCGAAAGCGGCGUGCUGGACCUCUUCUGACGCUGAGGCGCGAAAGCCAGGGGAGCGAACGGG
rnacentral:rRNA from 1 species